UUAAAGGGUAUAUGGGGCUGACUCCAGAUUUCAGGAGGCCCUCUGCAAACUGCCCUCCAUGGGUCUGCCCCUACCUUGAUGGGUCCUGAGGGAGACACUUCACCACUGGCACAGGGAUGCUACAGGCACAAAAGUGGUCUCAGGAAUAAGCAGUAGAAACUUCUGAGGGUCCUGCACCCUCCAAGCUGGCUCCUGAUACCAACCCUGAAGGAUUCCAUAAUCAGGAAUUCUUUUGCAUCUAGCCAUGUUCAAUUUCAUUAAUCCUGACCACAAUCUUUAUAUCCCAACUUUCCCACCAACCUUUCCAGCAGAUCAGAUCCCCAAAAUGGCAGCUGUACAAUCUGCUUGCUCCAAAGAUAACCUCAUCUGUGUGAGCUCCUCCCCCAUUGCAAUGGUUCACAACACUUCCCCAUGCUACUGUGCUGGAGAAUUAUGUUCUUGACUGGCAGGAGGAAGAAGGAUCAAUCCAUCCGUGCCUGGUAACACAGUACUGACUCUGAGGAGAGCUGGAUUCCCCUUGCUCUGUGGCUGGUCCAGGCAUGGAGAAAGGAGCAGGUGAAGGCAACAAACAGGAGGGAGAAGAGGCUAUAGCAGAUGACCUGGGAGGCACAGGACACAUUAUUCAAAUCAAUACAGUAUAUGCAGAAGUGCUUAUUUUGCAUAAGGGCCUUCCAUUUGUAUGCUGUAUUCUGAGCUCAAUAUUUACAGUUGUGUAGAAUCUGGAUUUUUCUUUUCCAUUCUUAAAAAUAAAUAAAUCUGGUUUUGCAGUGAG